UGCCAGCCGCCGCGGUAAUACGAAGGGGGUUAGCGUUGUUCGGAAUUACUGGGCGUAAAGCGCGCGUAGAUGGUUUAUUCAGUUUGGUGUGAAAUCCCUGGGCUCAACCUGGGAAUUGCAUUCGAUACUGCAGAGCUAGAGUAUGGUAGAGGGAAGUGGAAUUUCCGGUGUAGCGGUGAAAUGCGUAGAUAUCGGAAGGAACACCAGUGGCGAAGGCGACUUCCUGGGCCAAUACUGACGCUGAGGUGCGAAAGCGUGGGGAGCAAACAGGAUUAGAUA
rnacentral:rRNA from 1 species